CCUACGGGAGGCUGCAGUGAGGAAUAUUGGUCAAUGGACGCAAGUCUGAACCAGCCAUGCCGCGUGCAGGAAGACGGCUCUAUGAGUUGUAAACUGCUUUUGUACGAGGGUAAACGCAGAUACGCGUAUCUGUCUGAAAGUAUCUUACGAAUAAGGAUCGGCUAACUCCGUGCCAGCAGCCGCGGUAAUACGGAGGAUUCAAGCGUUAUCCGGAUUUAUUGGGUUUAAAGGGUGCGUAGGCGGUCGGAUAAGUUAGAGGUGAAAUCCCGAGGCUCAACUUCGGAAUGGCCUCUGAUACUGUCAGGCUAGAGAGUAGUUGCGGUAGGCGGAAUGUACGGUGUAGCGGUGAAAUGCUUAGAGAUCAUACAGAACACCGAUUGCGAAGGCAGCUUACCAAGCUACGUCAGACGUUGAGGCACGAAAGCGUGGGGAGCAAACAGGAUUAGAUACCCGAGUAGUC
rnacentral:rRNA from 1 species